UGAUCCAGCCAUGCCGCGUGUGUGAAGAAGGCCUUUUGGUUGUAAAGCACUUUAAGCGAGGAGGAGGCUACCGAGAUUAAUACUCUUGGAUAGUGGACGUUACUCGCAGAAUAAGCACCGGCUAAUUCUGUGCCAGCAGCCGCGGUAAUACAGAGGGUGCAAGCGUUAAUCGGAUUUACUGGGCGUAAAGCGCGCGUAGGUGGCCAAUUAAGUCAAAUGUGAAAUCCCCGAGCUUAACUUGGGAAUUGCAUUCGAUACUGGUUGGCUAGAGUAUGGGAGAGGAUGGUAGAAUUCCAGGUGUAGCGGUGAAAUGCGUAGAGAUCUGGAGGAAUACCGAUGGCGAAGGCAGCCAUCUGGCCUAAUACUGACACUGAGGUGCGAAAGCAUGGGGAGCAAACAGGAUUAGAUACCCUGGUAGUCCAUGCCGUAAACGAUGUCUACUAGCCGUUGGGGCCUUUGAGGCUUUAGUGGCGCAGCUAACGCGAUAAGUAGACCGCCUGGGGAGUACGGUCGCAAGACUAAAACUCAAAUGAAUUGACGGGGGCCCGCACAAGCGGUGGAGCAUGUGGUUUAAUUCGAUGCAACGCGAAGAACCUUACCUGGUCUUGACAUAGUAAGAACUUUCCAGAGAUGGAUUGGUGCNUUCGGGAANUUACAUACAGGUGNUGCAUGGCUG
rnacentral:rRNA from 1 species